AGCGAACGCUGGCGGCAGGCCUAACACAUGCAAGUCGAACGAACCUUUCGGGGUUAGUGGCGGACGGGUGAGUAACACGUGGGAACGUGCCUUUAGGUUCGGAAUAACUCAGGGAAACUUGUGCUAAUACCGAAUGUGCCCUUCGGGGGAAAGAUUUAUCGCCUUUAGAGCGGCCCGCGUCUGAUUAGCUAGUUGGUUGAGGUAAUGGCUCACCACGGCGACGAUCAGUAGCUGGUCUGAGAGGAUGAUCAGCCACAUUGGGACUGAGACACGGCCCAAACUCCUACGGGAGGCAGCAGUGGGGAAUCUUGCGCAAUGGGCGAAAGCCUGACGCAGCCAUGCCGCGUGAAUGAUGAAGGUCUUAGGAUUGUAAAAUUCUUUCACCGAGGACGAUAAUGACGGUACCCGGAGAAGAAGCCCCGGCUAACUUCGUG
rnacentral:rRNA from 1 species